CUUAGAGUUUGAUCCUGGCUCAGGAUGAACGCUGGCGGCGUGCCUAACACAUGCAAGUCGAGCGAUUCUCUUCGGAGAAGAGCGGCGGACGGGAGAGUAACGCGUGGGUAACCUGCCCUGUACACACGGAUAACAUACCGAAAGGUAUGCUAAUACGAGAUAAUAUACUUUUAUCGCAUGGUAGAAGUAUCAAAGCUCCGGCGGUACAGGAUGGACCCGCGUCUGAUUAGCUAGUUGGUAAGGUAACGGCUUACCAAGGCGACGAUCAGUAGCCGACCUGAGAGGGUGAUCGGCCACAUUGGAACUGAGACACGGUCCAAACUCCUACGGGAGGCAGCAGUGGGGAAUAUUGCACAAUGGGCGAAAGCCUGAUGCAGCAACGCCGCGUGAGCGAUGAAGGCCUUCGGGUCGUAAAGCUCUGUCCUCAAGGAAGAUAAUGACGGUACUUGAGGAGGAAGCCCCGGCUAACUACGUGCCAGCAGCCGCGGUAAUACGUAGGGGGCUAGCGUUAUCCGGAAUUACUGGGCGUAAAGGGUGCGUAGGUGGUUUCUUAAGUCAGAGGUGAAAGGCUACGGCUCAACCGUAGUAAGCCUUUGAAACUGGGAAACUUGAGUGCAGGAGAGGAGAGUGGAAUUUCUAGUGUAGCGGUGAAAUGCGUAGAUAUUAGGAGGAACACCAGUUGCGAAGGCGGCUCUCUGGACUGUAACUGACACUGAGGCACGAAAGCGUGGGGAGCAAACAGGAUUAGAUACCCUGGUAGUCCACGCCGUAAACGAUGAGUACUAGCUGUCGGAGGUUACCCCCUUCGGUGGCGCAGCUAACGCAUUAAGUACUCCGCCUGGGAAGUACGCUCGCAAGAGUGAAACUCAAAGGAAUUGACGGAAGGGCG
rnacentral:rRNA from 1 species